AUUGAACGCUGGCGGCAGGCCUAACACAUGCAAGUCGAACGAGUGGCGGACGGGUGAGUAAUGUCUGGGAAACCCCCUGAUGGAGGGGGAUAACUACUGGAAACGGUAGCUAAUACCGCAUACCAUCAGAUGUGCCCAUAUGGGAUUAGCUGGUUGGUGGGGUAACGGCUCACCAAGGCGACUAUCCCUAGAUGGUGUGAGAGGAUGACCAGCCACACUGGAACUUAGACACGGUCGAGACUCCUACGGGCGGCAGCAGUGGGGAAUAUGGCACAAUGGGCGCAAGCCGGAUGCAGCCAUGCCGCGUGUAUGAAGAAGGCCUUCGGGUUGUAAAGUACUUUCAGCGGGGAGGCGUUACCCGCAGAAGAAGCACCGGCUAACUCCGUGCCAGCCGCCGCGGUAAUAC
rnacentral:rRNA from 1 species